rnacentral:rRNA from 1 species
GAGUUUACGCUCUACAACCCUUUGUGAACAUACCUAUAACUGUUGCUUCGGCGGGUAGGGUCUCCGUGACCCUCCCGGCCUCCCGCCCCCGGGCGGGUCGGCGCCCGCCGGAGGAUAACCAAACUCUGAUUUAACGACGUUUCUUCUGAGUGGUACAAGCAAAUAAUCAAAACUUUUAACAACGGAUCUCUUGGUUCUGGCAUCGAUGAAGAACGCAGCGAAAUGCGAUAAGUAAUGUGAAUUGCAGAAUUCAGUGAAUCAUCGAAUCUUUGAACGCACAUUGCGCCCGCCAGCAUUCUGGCGGGCAUGCCUGUUCGAGCGUCAUUUCAACCCUCAAGCUCUGCUUGGUGUUGGGGCCCUACAGCUGAUGUAGGCCCUCAAAGGUAGUGGCGGACCCUCCCGGAGCCUCCUUUGCGUAGUAACUUUACGUCUCGCACUGGGAUCCGGAGGGACUCUUGCCGUAAAACCCCCCAAUUUUCCAAAGGUUGACCUCGGAUCAGGUAGGAAUACCCGCUGAACUUAAGCAUAUCAAUAAGCGGAGGAAAAGAAACCAACAGGGAUUGCCUCAGUAACGGCGAGUGAAGCGGCAACAGCUCAAAUUUGAAAUCUGGCCCUAGGCCCGAGUUGUAAUUUGCAGAGGAUGCUUUUGGUGCGGUGCCUUCCAAGUUCCCUAGAACGGGACGCCAGAGAGGGUGAGAGCCCCGUACAGUUGGACACCAAGCCUUUGUAAAGCUCCUUCGACGAGUCGAGUAGUUUGGGAAUGCUGCUCAAAAUGGGAGGUAUAUUUCUUCUAAAGCUAAAUACCGGCCAGAGACCGAUAGCGCACAAGUAGAGUGAUCGAAAGAUGAAAAGCACUUUGAAAAGAGGGUUAAACAGCACGUGAAAUUGUUAAAAGGGAAGCGCUUGUGACCAGACUUGCGUCCGGUGAAUCACCCAGCUCUCGCGGCUGGGGCACUUCGCCGGCUCAGGCCAGCAUCAGCUCGCUGUCGGGGACAAAAGCUUCAGGAACGUAGCUCUCUUCGGGGAGUGUUAUAGCCUGUUGCAUAAUACCCUUCGGCGGGCUGAGGUACGC